UACGAAGGGGGCUAGCGUUGCUCGGAAUUACUGGGCGUAAAGGGCGCGUAGGCGGAUAUUUAAGUCGGGGGUGAAAGCCCAGGGCUCAACCCUGGAACAGCCUUCGAUACUGGAUAUCUUGAGUACGGGAGAGGUGUGUGGAACUCCGAGUGUAGAGGUGAAAUUCGUAGAUAUUCGGAAGAACACCAGUGGCGAAGGCGACUACUGGCCAUAUAGUACGCUGAGGUGCGAAAGCGUGGGGAGCAAACAGG
rnacentral:rRNA from 1 species